rnacentral:rRNA from 1 species
UACGUAGGGGGCUAGCGUUGUCCGGAAUCAUUGGGCGUAAAGCGCGCGUAGGCGGCCGGUAAGUCCGCUGUGAAAGUCAAAGGCUCAACCUUUGAAUGUCAGCGGAUACUGCCAGGCUAGAGUCCGGAAGAGGCGAGUGGAACUCCUGGUGUAGCGGUGGAAUGCGCAGAUAUCAGGAAGAACACCAAAGGCGAAGGCAGCUCGCUGGGACGGUACUGACGCUGAGGUGCGAAAGCGUGGGGAGCGAACAGG